rnacentral:rRNA from 1 species
UGAGGAAUUUUGCGCAAUGGGCGAAAGCCUGACGCAGCGACGCCGCGUGGACGAAGAAGGCCUUCGGGUUGUAAAGUCCUGUCAGUGGGGACGAUAAUGACGGUACCUGCUGAGGAAGCUCCGGCUGACUCCGUGCCAGCAGCCGCGGUAAGACGGAGGGAGCAAGCGUUGUCCGGAAUUACUGGGCGUAAAGAGCCCGUAGGCGGGGACUUAAGUCCGGGAGUAAAUCCAUCGGCUUAACCGGUGAAUCAUCUCGGAUACUGGGUUUCUUGAGGACAGGAGAGGAAAGGGGAAUUCCUAGUUUAGCGGUGGAAUGCGUAGAUAUUAGGAGGAACACCUGUGGCGAAGGCGCCUUUCUGGCCUGAUCCUGACGCUGAGGAGCGAAAGCCAGGGGAGCGAACGG